rnacentral:rRNA from 1 species
GCGGUGCAUUAGUCUAGUUGGUAGGGUAACGGGACCGUACCAAGGCGAUGAUGCAUAGCCGAGUUGAGAGACUGAUCGGCCACAUUGGGACUGAGACACGGCCCAAACUCCUACGGGAGGCAGCAGUAGGGAAUCUUCCACAAUGGACGCAAGUCUGAUGGAGCAACGCCGCGUGAGUGAAGAAGGGUUUCGGCUCGUAAAGCUCUGUUGUUGGUGAAGAAGGACAGGGGUAGUAACUGACCUUUGUUUUGACGGUAAUCAAUUAGAAAGUCACGGCUAACUACGUGCCAGCAGCCGCGGUAAAAU